rnacentral:lncRNA from 1 species
CCUUAUAAAUACGUUUACAUUACUAUUCUGUGAGCUAAACAUACAAUAAAACAUGACAAAAAAUAUAUAAACUUGCAAGUAAAACAAGUAUACUUUUUAGAGAUAGCUAAUGUUACUGUCCCCAACAUGACAAAAUAAGUACUUAAAUAGAUGUCAUUUGUCCUUGAAACAAUUAAUUGAAAUACUGUAGAAUUCCAUUCAUUCCUGUGGAGGACUGCUCCUACUGGGGUGUGCUCUCAAUGGCCAAUAGAUAGAAUUACAUUCCAGGAUGUUAUACAUUAUUGGUUUGCACUGAGUUUCUUCUUCUUCUUCUUCUUCUUCUUCUUCUUCUUCUUCUUCUUUGGUAUAAUGGUGGUCCGCAAACAAACGUUUGAGGUGAAUGCUGACACCUACUGUGCUGGAGGUGGUGGCGCAGAGGAAUGGAGAAUAAAUGAAUAAUCAGUGUAUGUUAUAAAUAAAUGGAGGGCAUCCGUAGAAGAACGUGGAAUACGCAGAGGAGAAGGUGGUUCGAGACCUCAAUGCUGGAGGGAGUGGCUGCCUGGAGGGAGUGGCUACCUGGAGGGAGUGGCUGCCUGGAGGGAGUGGCUGCCUGGAGGGAGUGGCUGCCAUGCAGCACAUUCUUCAGCAGUGCUUAUGGUCAGAAGAAAGGGUUACACUGUUGAAAAGGAAAACAAAUGAUGCUUGACAUUCCUUCUGGUCUGUCUUCACUAUCCCAGGUGUUGUCCCAUUAUGUCUAUUUGGAGUGUUUAUCUCCUUUAUGGUGCACAUUGAACACCUCUAACAGCAGACAUGC